rnacentral:tRNA from 1 species
GCGGGUAUGGCGGAACUGGUAGACGCGCCAGACUCAAAAUCUGGUUUCCCUAGGAAGUGGGGGUUCGAUUCCCUCUACCCGCACCA